rnacentral:rRNA from 1 species
CCUACGGGAGGCAGCAGUGGGGAAUAUUGCGCAAUGGGCGAAAGCCUGACGCAGCGACGCCGCGUGAGGGAUGAAGGUCUUCGGAUCGUAAACCUCUGUCAGCAGGGAAGAACGGUCACUGUGCUAAUCAGCAGUGAAUUGACGGUACCUGCAAAGGAAGCACCGGCUAACUCCGUGCCAGCAGCCGCGGUAAUACGGAGGGUGCGAGCGUUAAUCGGAAUUACUGGGCGUAAAGCGCUCGUAGGCGGUAUGUCAAGUCAAGGGGGAAAUCCCCGCGCUCAACGUGGGAACUGCCUUUGAAACGGGCAAACUGGAGUGUGUGAGAGGAUAGUGGAAUUCCAGGUGUAGGAGUGAAAUCCGUAGAUAUCUGGAGGAACAUCAGUGGCGAAGGCGACUAUCUGGCACAUAACUGACGCUGAGGAGCGAAAGCGUGGGUAGCAAACAGGAUUAGAUACCCCGGUAGUC